rnacentral:piRNA from 1 species
UAGGUGAUAUCCUUUGUAAACAUGGCAGC